CUGUCCUUGUGUUAUUUGCAAUGCACGUAUUUUAACAUUGUGACCGUCAAAAAGGACAUACAUUAAAUAUCUUUUUCUCGUUAUUAACUUAAACAAAUAUGAUGUUACAGUG